GGGGUCUGGGGAGGGUAAUAUGUAGGCAAGCCUUACCCCUACCCGAAAGGGCAGAGAAGCUGUUUCCAAUCGACCCCGGCUCAUAGGAUAAAAGGAAAAACAGCAGUAAAACACAAACAAAGACAAAAACAAAAACAAUAGAGCAUUAGUAACUCCAGCAGAAAUAACGUAAAUAGCGUAAAUAAUUAUCUAAACAUACGAAAUAUAA
rnacentral:lncRNA from 1 species